GACGUAGGGCGCGAGCGUUGUCCGGAUUUAUUGGGCGUAAAGAGCUCGUAGGCGGCUUGUCGCGUCGACCGUGAAAACUUGGGGCUCAACCCCAAGCCUGCGGUCGAUACGGGCAGGCUAGAGUUCGGUAGGGGAGCCUGGAAUUCCUGGUGUAGCGGUGAAAUGCGCAGAUAUCAGGAGGAACACCGGUGGCGAAGGCGGGUCUCUGGGCCGAUACUGACGCUGAGGAGCGAAAGCGUGGGGAGCGAACAGG
rnacentral:rRNA from 1 species